rnacentral:rRNA from 1 species
AGGACGAACGCUGGCGGCGUGCUUAACACAUGCAAGUCGAGCGGAAAGGCCCUUCGGGGUACUCGAGCGGCGAACGGGUGAGUAACACGUGAGCAACCUGCCCUUAGCUCUGGGAUAGCUCCGGGAAACCGGAAUUAAUACCGGAUAUGACCUAGGCCGACAUCGGCCGUGGUGGAAAGUUUUUCGGCUAGGGAUGGACUCGCGGCCUAUCAGCUAGUUGGUGGGGUAAUGGCCUACCAAGGCGACGACGGGUAGCCGGCCUGAGAGGGCGACCGGCCACACUGGGACUGAGACACGGCCCAGACUCCUACGGGAGGCAGCAGUGGGGAAUCUUGCGCAAUGGGCGAAAGCCUGACGCAGCGACGCCGCGUGGGGGAUGAAGGCCUUCGGGUUGUAACCCCGUUUCAGCAGGGACGAAGCGAAAGUGACGGUACCUGCAGAAGAAGCGCCGGCUAACUACGUGCCAGCAGCCGC